rnacentral:rRNA from 1 species
CCUACGGGUGGCUGCAGUGGGGAAUAUUGCGCAAUGGGCGAAAGCCUGACGCAGCGACGCCGCGUGAGGGAUGAAGGUCUUCGGAUCAUAAAGCUCUGUCAGCAGGGAAGAACGGUCACUGUGCUAAUCAGCAGUGAAUUGACGGUACCUGCAAAGGAAGCACCGGCUAACUCCGUGCCAGCAGCCGCGGUAAGACGGAGGGUGCGAGCGUUAAUCGGAAUUACUGGGCGUAAAGCGCUCGUAGGCGGUAUGGCAAGGCCAGGGUGAAAUCUCCGGGCUCAACGUGGGAACUGCCUUUGAAACUGGCAAACUGGAGUGUGUGAGAGGAUAGUGGAAUUCCAGGUGUAGGAGUGAAAUCCGUAGAUAUCUGGAGGAACAUCAGUGGCGAAGGCGACUAUCUGGAACAUAACUGACGCUGAGGAGCGAAAGCGUGGGUAGCAAACAGGAUUAGAUACCCCAGUAGUC